GCGAGCCUACAGGCUCGUGGUUUCGUUACGGUCACACGGUCGCGCCAAUGCUUUUUGCGAUAUCGCGUACUUAAUCGUAUGCAAUUGCUCGUAAACGAUGCCGCAGCAUCGGCUGUUCUGCCAGGUCCGUCUCUUCUGGGCGCAGGAUCAAAAUCGCGAGCGAAAUCGUGGCCUUUUGCAAACCGUGACGUUACGAGGCGCACAUGCGCCGAAUGACGAGCGAAAAGCGAAUCUGUCCUCGACCGAGCCGUCCUUGCGGCCACGACGAUGUAGCUAGAUCGGCGACUGAGGCUUCAUCUCACGGGGAAAGGAAAAUCCAAUAGCGCUGGAAUUGAAUAACUUAUCGGCAGACAUCGUGGAGCAUGAAAGGAACGUAUUUGAAACUGACCCAGAAUUGGUCAGCUCUAUCGUCAAAUAGAUGAUGAAAUUUUCACAAAAAUUUAUUGUCAAGUGGUAUUUCGAGAUAGUAUAAGGGUACGUUUAUAUUGGAGCAGUGAUAAACGAUAAGAACGACGAUACUAGUGUAACGGUGAAAGAUAGAUCACCUUUAUGGGACCAAAAAGAUAGAAAUCACCACAAUAGAUACGUUUUGGAUAAAUUAUGGGAUGAAAUAGCUGGUUGAAUUAAAUACCACACGUAAGUAAUUCGUUUAUUUUUCUUAAAUAUUACAUGAUAUUUAUUAUGAAAUAUUUAAGAUUAUGUUAGAUUUUUUCAAAAAUUAUCAAUCAUUUGCAAUUGAAUUAAGUAUAACACAAGUACAUUUUAAAUAAAUCCCGAUUAUUCUGUGCAUUUUUUUAAGUGCAAUUAUAUAACAACGCUUUGGGUAAUUUUCAGGUUAUAAUAUAGUUAGCUGUGUAUUAUCAUCGCUCUAAUAUGAACAUACCAAAGAAAAUUAGAUUUGAAUAGCUUUUAUCGCCACUCUUAUCGCUGCUUUUAUAACUUUUAUCAUUACUCCAACAUAAACGUACCCUUACCUAUUCACUUGGUUUUGUUAAUAAAUCGAGAAGCUCACUGAGUUGUUUUUCAACGACUCAAAAAACGUGCCGAUUUCUUUUGAUAAUUUCUUCCAAAUCUGGAGAACAAUAUAAUCCAAGAGACGUGUGAGUCGUGUUCAUCAAUUCUUGAGAGAUUUGAAAACAUUGUAUUCCCGAUCGGAAUCCGACUGCAAAUACGGAGACUUGCAAAGUAGUAGCGAGAUAUAUGUAUAGGUCACAGGAACUGCUUGCGAAUUAUUUGAUGCGCAUACGAGCUCGCGCGAUGACCUGAAGCGUGGUCCAGACAGGACCUUGGACUAGUAACCCACAUAGUGUCCGCACGCGGAAGUAACGCAAAGUCCGCGCGUAUAUAACUACCCUUGAUCCAGAUUUUAUUUUAUUGGUUGAAAUUUAACGUCUCAUCUUUGCUCAACUAUCCUCACCACCUAGAGCCACGCUGAAGCGCAUGAUCAGAUUUAGAAAUUUGCUGACGCACAAGCGACGAGGGAACAUCUCCCUUCGCGUCGGCAUCGUUAUCGGAUUCAGCUUUGGAAAUCGUAGAAAACAUCGGAAUGAUAAAGGAGAGAAACGUUGAUGAGAACCUGAUAAUCAUGAUAAGAAUUACGUAACCGAGGAAUUUACCAAGAUAAUAGAAAGGAAAAGAACUCGUUUUACAAAACGUCAUAUCUUAUUUAAGCAUGCUAACAAUAAUGAUAAGCAUUGCUUUAUUGCGUUUCGUUGUUCAUCCUUGACUAGUUUGAUUAGGACGUCUAUGUUUAAUUUAAAGUCAUACAUGAUCAUAAAUUAUUAAGAACGUAAAGAUAACAAUUACAUUAUGCAACACAUAUUUAGCAGCCUACAUGGAAAUAAAUGGAAUUUAUACGCAAA
rnacentral:lncRNA from 1 species